rnacentral:lncRNA from 1 species
GGUGGGUAGGGGGCAGCCACAGGACUGCCGGGGGUAGAGGGAAAUGACGUGGGCUGCGCGCGGGGGGCUCCUCGCCAGACCCACACACUCCUGCCCUGUCCCCUCACUGUCCUGCCGGACACUGUGGGGCCUCAAUGUCGAUGUCAGCUAUCCCUAGAUGUCACAGGGAUGGGUCACAAAGGGCCCCAAAGUGAGCUGCCACCCCGCCCAGCUGGGGCUGGCUCAGGGCCCCAGGUUGGCAUGGUGCAGACCAAACUCCCCCAGCAGGAGGGAUGGUUGUGGCUGCUUACCCAGAAAGCUUUGGAAGUGGGCCCGAGAGCAGCCAUACUACGCAGGCUCUUUUGCUAAUGUUUUAAAAAAGCAGACAAGACAACUGAAGGUCCGAGCCUGAUGUCUAAAUGUUCUGACUAUACAGGACCCUCUGGACUUCAGAAUGAGAUCAUGCUGCUAUAGCUGAAUGGGUGCACUGGAAGAACAUUUCUGAAUACUCUUCACCCCUUCCAAUUUGUUUAUCUAUACAGGAGUGAAAAACUAUAUGUAGAAAAAUCUCUGAAAGUUAGAAGUAGUUUGUGCACUAACAUGUCAGAAUCUGUGGG